rnacentral:rRNA from 1 species
GACGAACGCUGGCGGCGUGCUUAACACAUGCAAGUCGAACGGAAAGGCCCUGCUUUUGUGGGGUGCUCGAGUGGCGAACGGGUGAGUAACACGUGAGUAACCUGCCCUUGACUUUGGGAUAACUUCAGGAAACUGGGGCUAAUACCGGAUAGGAGCUCCUGCUGCAUGGUGGGGGUUGGAAAGUUUCGGCGGUUGGGGAUGGACUCGCGGCUUAUCAGCUUGUUGGUGGGGUAGUGGCUUACCAAGGCUUUGACGGGUAGCCGGCCUGAGAGGGUGACCGGCCACAUUGGGACUGAGAUACGGCCCAGACUCCUACGGGAGGCAGCAGUGGGGAAUAUUGCACAAGGGGCGGAAGCCUGAUGCAGCAACGCCGCGUGCGGGAUGACGGCCUUCGGGUGGUAAACCGCUUUCGCCUGUGACGAAGCGUGAGUGACGGUAAUGGGGAAAGAAGCACCGGCUAACUACGU